UACGUAGGGUGCAAGCGUUAAUCGGAAUUACUGGGCGUAAGGCGUGCGCAGGCGGUUUUGUAAGUCUGAUGUGAAAUCCCCGGGCUCAACCUGGGAAUUGCAUUGGAGACUGCAAGGCUGGAGUCUGGCAGAGGGGGGUAGAAUUCCACGUGUAGCAGUGAAAUGCGUAGAGAUGUGGAGGAACACCGAUGGCGAAGGCAGCCCCCUGGGUCAAGACUGACGCUCAUGCACGAAAGCGUGGGGAGCAAACAGG
rnacentral:rRNA from 1 species